rnacentral:rRNA from 1 species
ACUCCUACGGGAGGCAGCAGUGGGGAAUUUUGGACAAUGGGCGAAAGCCUGAUCCAGCAAUGCCGCGUGUGUGAAGAAGGCCUUCGGGUUGUAAAGCACUUUUGUCCGGAAAGAAAUCCUUGGCUCUAAUACAGUCGGGGGAUGACGGUACCGGAAGAAUAAGCACCGGCUAACUACGUGCCAGCAGCCGCGGUAAUACGUAGGGUGCAAGCGUUAAUCGGAAUUACUGGGCGUAAAGCGUGCGCAGGCGGUUUGCUAAGACCGAUGUGAAAUCCCCGGGCUCAACCUGGGAACUGCAUUGGUGACUGGCAGGCUAGAGUAUGGCAGAGGGGGGUAGAAUUCCACGUGUAGCAGUGAAAUGCGUAGAGAUGUGGAGGAAUACCGAUGGCGAAGGCAGCCCCCUGGGCCAAUACUGACGCUCAUGCACGAAAGCGUGGGGAGCAAACAGGAUUAGAUACCCUGGUAGUCCACGCCCUAAACGAUGUCAACUAGUUGUUGGGGAUUCAUUUCCUUAGUAACGUAGCUAACGCGUGAAGUUGACCGCCUGGGGAGUACGGUCGCAAGAUUAAAACUCAAAGGAAUUGACG